rnacentral:rRNA from 1 species
UACGAAGGGGGCUAGCGUUGCUCGGAAUUACUGGGCGUAAAGGGAGCGUAGGUGGACAGUUUAGUCAGAGGUGAAAGCCCAGGGCUCAACCUUGGAAUUGCCUUUGAUACUGGCUGUCUUGAGUACGGAAGAGGUAUGUGGAACUCCGAGUGUAGAGGUGAAAUUCGUAGAUAUUCGGAAGAACGCCAGUGGCGAAGGCGACAUACUGGUCCGUUACUGACACUGAGGCUCGAAAGCGUGGGGAGCAAACAGG